rnacentral:lncRNA from 1 species
UGCGUUCGAGAUCAUUUUGAUUGCAUGCUAAUAUCUGUGAAAUAGUGAGAAUUACAUCAAAAUCUAUUACACGUUGCUAAAUAAUUACAGAAUUUUAUUUGUGCAAAUAUAUAUUCGACAUUUUAUUUGCUCAGUCGAAUUUGUAGGAUAUAAUUGUAGGAAUUAAAUCAUGACAGGUCUGCGUCAAAGGCUAUUAAUAGGUUUUAUUUUUAUCACAUGUGUAUUUAUCAGCGAAUGUGUCAUUGCUACUGAACACUUGAGAUACGAUGCUGUGUCGGAAUCAGAAAUGGUGUCCUCAAUUUCGUCCAUUUCCACGCGCUCUAAAAUUGUUUGCGGAGCUUUGUGUCACGGAAAUGAAGAAUGCAUCUCUUUUAGUUAUAACAAUGUUACAGAAGUCUGCAAAUUAAACAACAACGUUCCGUUGACGGCACCAGGUGAAGUUGCUGCGAGAAACGGAAGCACUUUGUAUCAUGUAAAAGAAGAAGGAUGGAGACUCAAUCAAGAAACAGGACACCGCUAUGUGUUUGUAACGACAUACCAAAACUGGGAAUCUGCUAAGUCAUACUGCGAAUCAAUUGGAGCAAGUCUGGUAAAGAUUGAAGAUGACCGGUGAACAGCAGUAUCUUCGCAAAAUACUAAAAGCCGACUUCACGUGGGAAAGUUUCUUCUUGAUCGGAGCACGCUAUAACGAUGGUUCGUAUCGCUGGACUGACGGUACAAACGUAUCGUACAAUGGCUGGGCACCAAACAAACCCGGAAACACAACUGGAUGCGUCGAUAUUCUUCGUUUCGAAGACUGGCUUUGGAAUCCGUAUGGGGACUGCAAUGGUAUAAAAGCAAAAUAUAUUUGUGAAAAGGGGCUUUAAGCGAAGACACCAACACAUGGCAGGACAAAGACAGUGUUCUGAUGAUAUGGAAACAAUAAACUCUUUGACUUUUAUCAUGCGUACCUUCUACUGAAUUUUCAUUCCGCAUUCGAAAUAAGUACGCUACCUUUUUUAUCAUUUCACAAAAAGUGGUCAAAUUUUAAGAAUGAAACAAAAUGUAACAGCCUGCUUAGUGGCUUGACUUUGUAUGGAAAUAUCAAAAAGAACAAAAAGAAAAAGAAAUCAACAGAAAUCAGACAAAUAUUUGAUAUAUAUCGUCGAGGACGUACAUAAUAAUCAUUGAUAUUGUGUUAGAAUCGAAAUAAUAUAUCUCAAACAGUUAUUUGCGCGUGAAUAAAAUCAUAGUUUGUCGUUCGGAUGCGUAUUAUUAUAUCACUCGGGCUGCGCCUUUGUGGUAUAAUUCCUCCGCAUCUAAACUCUAACAAUUAUUUCAUUCAAUGACAAAUCACUGUUUGGGAUAUAUUAUUCUUUAUUCUAAAAUGACCCGAUUUGUUUUCCUAUAAAACAAAGAAGGCUGAAACUGUGUAUUAUCAUUCAACAAUUCAUUUUUUCUGACGUUACAAUAUGUUAUAGCGUUAGACGGCAUAGUGGCGCGUUGAAAAGAAAUCAAACAAACAUUUGAUAGAAAUCGUCAAUGACGUACAUAAUAGAAUCGAAAACAAUAUUUCCCAAACAGUGAUUUGCUCAUGAAUAAAAUAGUUGUUUGUCGUUUAGAUGCGUAUUUUAUAUUACUCGGUCGUUAUAAUAUAUAAUUCUUUCGCAUCUAAACUCCAAACAAAGAUUUUAUAGAAUGACAAAUCACUGUUUGAGAUAUAUUAUUUAUUUCUUUUUAUAUUGAGUAUUGUAUGUAUUUCUAGAUGACUACCAUGUAUACCAAAAAAAAACAAAAAAAAAAAAAACAACAAA